AAAACAUUGUGUCUAAAAAGGACCUGAGAGAAUCCCGGGCAGAGGUCCGAAAACUGCUGCCCAAGAAACUGAGUAUAUUUCCAUUAUUAAUUUGAAUAAUCAUUGUCAUAAGACAGUAGGAGUGAUUGUUUUUUUUUGUUAGUUUUUUUUCCUCAGGAAGACUAGAGGCCAAACCCAAAUGGGACACUUUGGAUCAGGUCUUUGGCCUGCUUGCAGGUUAUUUUAUUUCUUUUUCGGGGCACCGCCGCGGGGUCCUUCAGAACAUGCGGGUGUCAGAGGUCCAGGAGGCUGAUUUUGAGAACUCAAAGGGCAUCAUAGAGAUGAGUGUUCAUGAUCAUAGGUAAACAGAUUCUUGAUUGGUUAACAAUGAUUAUUUGCAACGUAUUUUCUUUUUUGUUCUUAAUUUUUAGGUGCAGAGUCAUAAGUCGGCCAGCACUUACGUCUAUGCCCAGCUGUCCAUAACUGAGGAAGCCUCCUGGACAUCCGCGAGGGGCUUCCUGGCAGUGAAUCGCCCUAUUUCUUUUUUAACAGGGCUGAGGGCCUUCUAACGAAUGGACGAGGAUAUGGUUCGAUGGAAAAUUCACAUUUAAAAAUCUUAGAACCUCCAUCGUUCAUCAUAACAAGGACAUCAGCCCCAGAAAGCGCCAACGGAUACACAGGGCGAUGUGCUAUUCUGAGGCUGUUGCCUCAAAGUUUUACAUGGCAUAGAGUUCCGCGAUUGAGGCUGCAGAGGUGCGCCAGCUGCAGGAGAUGGAUGAUCCUUCCCCUCAACCAUCCCAUCAACUUCGAAGCCCAUAGAGCAGCCUGGCCCAUCCACAUCGGAGUCCAUGGAGCAGCUCGGCCCCAGCACCAGCACCAGCUCUGUUAUGAAGUCAAGGAGGAGGCUUUUUGUGGUUAGUUCACCCUCCUCAUCCUCCUCAGAAAUGGAGUUUCUAGAAGAGGGAUACAAGUCAGACGCUUCAGGGGCUUUUUCUGAGUUGAUACCCAUUCAAAGUUCUGCGCAGUAUGGGGCCUCAAAUCAGGCCCGCUCCAGGGAUCGAUUUGCUCUUCAGACCCCUAUGAAGCCUUUAAUUUCUACUGUAAGUGUGCAUUAUUUUCAUGCUUG
rnacentral:lncRNA from 1 species